rnacentral:lncRNA from 1 species
CUUUUUAGAGCCGCACCUGCGGCAUAUGGAGGUUCCCAGGCUCGGAGCCCAAUUGGAGCUGUAGCUGCCCACCUAUGCCACAGCCACAGCAACGCCAGAUCCAAGCCGUGUCUGCGACCUACACCACAGCUCAUGGCAAUGCCAGAUCCUUAGCCCAUUGAUUGAACCUUCGUCCUCAUGGUUACUAGUCAGAUUUGUUUCUGCUGAGCCACGAUGAGAACUCCCAGAACGUACUUCUUAUGGCCUCUGCCCCAUCUAAUGAAAGUUAGGGAGACUCUCCCCAGUAAAACACACAUACAUUCGCAUGCUUCCAGCACAUGCUAAUUCCAGGGGGAUCAUGUAACCCCCCUAAAGCCCACCCUGGGAAAACUCCAGGCUUUAAGGGUUUGCUCACAGACAAGAAAAUUCCAUUAAUCCUCACUUUCUUCUUUAGAUUACUAUUGUGUGUUGCAAGACAGAGAACAUGAUUAAAAUAAGGUAAGUUAUGCAGAUGCAUACACCAAAGGAUUUAGGUUCAGCUAACUUUGACAUCUUUAAAAUAAAACGAUCACAUGGGCUUGCUAUCUCAUUUUACCUCCUAAAGACUUCUCAACUCUAUCACCUUUUUUCCAUGUCUCCACUCCUCGCGGCCAGGAUCAAUGCUAGCCCACUGCAAGCAUUACAGAAAGGCAUCCCUUCCUGGAGACAUUUACUGCCAUCUGCUGGGCAAAAGUGCCAUAUUAACUAUGUACAUAUUUUCACUAUGUCCAAGAUGAGGACAGGGGGUCCUCGAGUUCUGUACAGCUGCAUGGGAGUUUCUAGCAUGAUCUGAGUACAAUGUAAGCCUACAGACUGCCGAUGUGAACUGACCAUUACUGCAGAUGGCUGUUCUCCAGGGGUAUUUGGGGGUUUUUUUUGUUUGUUUUUUGUUUGUUUGUUUGUUUUUCGGCUUUUUAGAGCCACAUCUGCGGCCUAUGGAAGUUCCCAGGCUAGGGGCUGAAUCAGAGCUACAGCUGCCAGUCUACACCACAGCCACAGCAACUAAGGAUCUGAGCUGCAUCUGCAACCUACACCACAGCUUGUGGCAACACCAGAUCCUUAACCCACUGAAUGAGGCCAGGGAUCGAACCCAUGUCCUCACGGAUCCUAGCUGGGUUCAUUAACCACUGAGCCAUGACAGAAACUCCUGUUCUGAGUUAUUCAAAAACAUUUUAAACUACUUUUCCAAACUGUUUAAAUUCCAUGAAAAGCUGCAAAAAAUAGAACGGAGUUUCCAUGAAUUCCUUACCCAGACUCCCCAGAAGAGUUUGGUUUUAUAGCCAUACAAACCAGGGUGUUAAUCAUGAUUCUGACAAGAUUUUGACAGAUGGGCAUAGUGCCGGCACACAGUAAGUGCCCAACAUUUACUAUAAGUUGUUAUCAUUUGCUAGCAGUGGUUUCCUUAACUGUUAAAAAAAAAAAAAGAUAGUAAAAAAAUCUAGUUAACUGUUAUAAUUUCUGUGGUCUAAUGUUCUCCCCCAAAUCACACUUACCUAGUGCACCGUUAUCCCAGUUUUCUAGGUACAAAUCAUAAGUGAUCACAACUAAUGAGAUGCUCUCCUACCCCAGGAGGAGAUGAUGGUGACUAAUUCUUGGAUGCCCAUCCUAGGCACCCCAGUGGCCAGGAGAUACUCAGACGCUAAGGGCAGAGCCAGCUCCAGGCUGAGGUAAGCAGGGACCUUGUGCUUUUCUAUCUUAUCUGAAAGUGGACACCUCUCCAGAGCACCGAAGUCUUCCAGGUGGUUAUUGUUAUUUUGAUUUCAUAAAAGAAAGGCAACUCUUUUUAUUUUUUUCUUUUUCUUUUCUUUUUUCUUUUUUUAAAUUUGUUUUUCUUUUAUUUGUUUUUGUCUUUUCUAGGGUGCACCCAUGGCAUGUGGAGGUUCC